CAAAUUGAUACAAAUUGAUAAUAGGUUAGGUAAGUGUUCCAUGAUAAUAGGUUAGGUAAAUGUUCCAUGAUAAUGGGUUAGGUAAAUGUUUCAUGAUAAUGAGUUAGGUAAAUGUUUCAUGAUAAGAAUUUCAUGUCUUUUGUAUUAAAGAAUUAAAUGGAUGAAAUAUGAAGUUUUAUUAAAAGAAAAAGUGGUGAAAAGAACAAAGUUUUGUCCAUCUUUGUUCAUCAUAGCUGAAAGUUAGAGAAGAGAAAGGAGAGGAGAAAGCUCUUGAGUAUUCGGUCAUUAGGAAGAGGAAAAUUGAAGGUGAGUCUUGAUGUGGGUGACUUGGAGCCGGAGGGGAUUCAGAGUGGCCAUUGUGAACACUUUUGGGUUUGAAAAGAGACUGGUUUUCUUAAGUUAUUUUAAUUACUAUUUAAGUUUUGGGUUGUAAUAAGGCCAUUUUAACUUUAUUUUCUUCUUUGAUUUUCUGAGAUUAUAUUAUUUUAAACAACUUUAAAUUGAUGGAUAAUAAUAA